UAACUGAACCAAGAAGAUAAUAAUUAAUCAAUCUGAAUUUGUGGCAAAUCUCAUUAUAGAAACAGAUUGCACGUGAAUCAUAUACAAACUAAGACAACAAAUUCAUGCUUAAAAAUUGCAUGAUAAUAACCACAAAGAAAAAGGAAAAGAAAAAGGUAAAAAAACUAAAGAGCUGCUAUUAUAUCAAUACUAGAGAGAUUAUUUAAGUCAUAGAGCUGUUAUAGGACCUUUUGAAUUAGGUUAUUAACUGAACCAAGAAGAUAAUAAUUAAUCAAUCUGAAUUUGUGGCAAAUCUCAUUAUAGAAACAGAUUGCACGUGAAUCAUAUACAAACUAAGACAACAAAUUCAUGCUUAAAAAUUGCAUGAUAAUAACCACAAAGAAAAAGGAAAAGAAAAAGGUAAAAAAACUAAAGACAUGUUCAAGGAAGGGUGAGACAGACAAGCUAUAUAGUAAAUAGCCUAUCUCUUCAGUUUCUAGUUUAGCUCUCUAAAUGGUGAUCUCUCUCCAAUGACAGCCUGG
rnacentral:lncRNA from 1 species